GACGAACGCUGGCGGCGUGCUUAACACAUGCAAGUCGAACGGUAAGGCCCUUCGGGGUACACGAGUGGCGAACGGGUGAGUAACACGUGGGUGAUCUGCCCUGCACUUCGGGAUAAGCCUGGGAAACUGGGUCUAAUACCGGAUAGGACCACUGCCUGCAUGGGUGGUGGUGGAAAGCUUUUGCGGUGUGGGAUGGGCCCGCGGCCUAUCAGCUUGUUGGUGGGGUGAUGGCCUACCAAGGCGACGACGGGUAGCCGGCCUGAGAGGGGGACCGGCCACGCUGGGACUGGGAUACGGCCCAGAGUCAGACGGGAGGCAGCAGUGGGGAAUAUUGCACAAUGGGCGCAAGCCUGAUGCAGCGACGCCGCGUGAGGGAUGACGGCCUUCGGGUUGUAAACCUCUUUCAGCACCGACGAAGCGCAAGUGACGGUAGGUGCAGAAGAAGGACCGGCCAACUAGGUGCCAGCCGCCGCGGUAA
rnacentral:rRNA from 1 species